CGGCAACAGCUCAAAUUUGAAAUCUGCCCGCAAGGGCCGAGUUGUAAUUUGUAGAGGAUGUUUUGGGUACCGCCACGGUUUAAUUUUCUUGGAACAGGAAGCCAAAGAGGGUGAGAGUCCCGUCUU
rnacentral:rRNA from 1 species